rnacentral:rRNA from 1 species
UUCGAGCGCUGGAGGAUGGAGAUGCGUCUGAUUAGAUAGUUGGUGAGGUAACGGCUCACCAAGUCAACGAUCAGUAGCUGGUCUGAGAGGAUGAUCAGNCACACUGGGACUGAGACACGGCCCAGACUCCUACGGGAGGCAGCAGUAGGGAAUAUUGGGCAAUGGGGGAAACCCUGACCCAGCCCUGCCGCGUGGGGGAAGACGGUCCACAGGAUUGUAAACCCCUUUUAUAUAGGAAUAAGGACCUAUUCUUUAGGUUUUGCAGGUACUAUACGAAUAAGCACCGGCAAACUACGUGCCAGCAGCCGCGGUAAUACGUAGGGUGCAAGCGUUGUCCGGAUUUACUGGGUUUAAAGGAUCCGUAGGCGGGACUGUCAGUCGGCGAUGAAAUCAGGUGGCUCAACCAUCUGGCUGUUGCCGAAACUGCAGUUCUUGAAUUAGAUUGAGGUAGCUGGAAUAGGCAGUGUAGCGGUGAAAUGCGUAGAGAUUGCCUAGAACACCGAUUGCGAAGGCAGGUUACUAAGUCUAUAUUGACGCUGAUGGAUGAAAGCGUGGGGAGCGAACAGGAUUAGAUACCCUGGUAGUCCACGCCGUAAACGAUGGAUACUCGCUGCUCCAACACUUGAGUUGGAGUGGCUGCGCGAAAGCAUUAAGUAUCCCACCUGGGGAGUACGCCCGCAAGGGUGAACUUCAAAGGAAUUGACGGGGGCCCGCACAAGUGUUGGAGCAUGUGGUUUAAUUCGAUGAUACGCGAGGAACCUUACCUGGGGCUCGAAUGGUACCGGAAGGUCCCCGAAAAGGGACUGUUUCUUCGGAAACUGGUAUCAAGGUGCUGCAUGGUUGUCGUCAGCUCGUGCCGUGAGGUGUUGGGUUAAGUCCCGCAACGAGCGCAACCCCUGUAGUUAGUUGCCAGCAGGUAAAGCUGGGGACUCUAGCUAGACUGCCCGUGCAAGCGGAGAGGAAGGCGGGGACGACGUCAAAUCAUCAUGGCCCUUACGCCCAGGGCUACACACGUGCUACAAUGGCC